GUGAAUCAUCAAAUUUUUGAACGCAAAUUGCACUUUCUGCGGAGAGGAUGCCUAUCUGUGGGUCAGCCUAAAAAAAAUUGACAUAGUUGCUGUUUCGGGGUGACAUUCGUAGGAAAUUGGGUCAUAUUAAACUUUUGGGUUUUAAGCGGCUUAAAAUUUUCUUUUCGAUUUCACGAAUGUUUCUAUGAUUUACUUCUUACACGGUUAAGGUAUCGAUCUUUGUUAAACGUGGCCGUUGCAUCGGAGCAAGUGCAU
rnacentral:misc_RNA from 1 species